rnacentral:piRNA from 1 species
UAGAAACCUUCUUUUCUGUUUCAGCCUUGG